rnacentral:rRNA from 1 species
AAGAGUUUGAUCCUGGCUCAGGAUUAACGCUGCGCGGCGCGCCUAAUACAUGCAAGUCGAACGGAGACCCCUCAAAAGGUCUUAGUGGCGAACGGGUGAGUAACACGUAAGUAACCUACCUUUAAGACGAGGAUAACAAUCGGAAACGGUUGCUAAGACUGGAUAGGAAAUAAAAAGGCAUCUUUUUGUUUUUAAAAGACCUUCUUCGGAGGGUAUGCUUAAAGAGGGGCUUGCGCCACAUUAGUUAGUUGGUGAGGUAAAGGCUUACCAAGAUUAUGAUGUGUAGCUGGACUGAGAGGUUGAACAGCCACAUUGGGACUGAGACACGGCCCAAACUCCUACGGGAGGCAGCAGUAGGGAAUUUUCGGCAAUGGAGGAAACUCUGACCGAGCGACGCCGCGUGAACGAUGAAGUAUUUCGGUAUGUAAAGUUCUUUUAUUGAAGAAGAAAAAAUAGUGGAAAAACUAUCUUGACGUUAUUCAAUGAAUAAGCCCCGGCUAACUAUGUGCCAGCAGCCGCGGUAAGACAUAGGGGGCGAGCGUUAUCCGGAAUUAUUGGGCGUAAAGGGUGCGUAGGCGGUUAGAUAAGUCUAUAAUUUAAUUUCAGUGCUUAACGCUGUCUUGUUAUAGAAACUGUCUUGACUAGRGUGAGAUAGAGGCAAGCGGAAUUCCAUGUGUAGCGGUAAAAUGUGUAAAUAUAUGGAGGAACACCAGAAGCGUAGGCGGCUUGCUGGGUCUUUACUGACGCUGAGGCACGAAAGCGUGGGGAGCAAACAGGAUUAGAUACCCUGGUAGUCCACGCUGUAAACGAUGAGUACUAAGUGUCGGGGCAACUCGGUACUGAAGUUAACACAUUAAGUACUCCGCCUGAGUAGUACGUACGCAAGUAUGAAACUUAAAGGAAUUGACGGGACUCCGCACAAGCGGUGGAUCAUGUUGUUUAAUUCGAAGAUACACGAAAAACCUUACCAGGUCUUGACAUACUCUGCGAAGCUAUAGAAAUAUAGUGGAGGUUAUCAGGGAUACAGGUGGUGCAUGGUUGUCGUCAGUUCGUGUCGUGAGAUGUUAGGUUAAGUCCUAAAACGAACGCAACCCCUGUCGUUAGUUACCAGCACGUAAUGGUGGGGACUUUAGCGAGACUGCCAAUUAAACAUUGGAGGAAGGUGGGGAUAACGUCAAAUCAUCAUGCCC